GUUGGCUAUGGCGACACGCAUCCUACCACGAUACCUGGACAAAUUAUCGGCAUCCUAUGUUGUAUUACUGGUGUUUUAAUAGUGGCAUUGCCAAUACCAAUUAUAUUUAAUAAC
rfam:Trichoplax adhaerens TRIADscaffold_7 genomic scaffold, whole genome shotgun sequence.